rnacentral:rRNA from 1 species
GCUUGUCUCAAAGAUUAAGCCAUGCAUGUCUAAGUAUAAGCACUCUUAUACUGCGAAACUGCGGAUGGCUCAUUAAAACAGUUAUAAUUUAUUUGAUGAGGUACCUGUUACUACAUGGAUAACCGUGGUAAUUCUAGAGCUAAUACAUGCAUUAAAGGGCUCGGCGUUGUGUCGGGUCUGUAUUUAUUGGAUACAAAAACCAAUGCAUCCUCUGGGUGCUUUUGUUGGUGAGUCACAGUAACUAAUCGAAUCGCACGGCUUGAUGCUGGCGAUAGGUCAUUCAAAUUUCUGCCCUAUCAGCUUUCGAUGGUAGUGUAGUGGACUACCAUGGCGUUAACGGGUGACGGGGAAUUAGGGUUCGAUUCCGGAGAGGGAGCCUGAGAAACGGCUACCACAUCUAAGGAAGGCAGCAGG